rnacentral:tRNA from 1 species
UCCCUUGUAGCUCAGCUGGUAAAGAAUCUGCCUGCAAUGCAGGAGACCUGGGUUCGAUCCCUAGAUUGGGAA